UGAGUAACCUGCCCUGGACUCUGGGAUAACCCCGAGAAAUCGGAGCUAAUACCGGAUAGGACCUGGAACCGCAUGGUUUUGGGUGGAAAGUUUUUCGGUCUGGGAUGGACUCGCGGCCUAUCAGCUUGUUGGUGAGGUAAUGGCUCACCAAGGCGUCGACGGGUAGCCGGCCUGAGAGGGUGACCGGCCACACUGGGACUGAGACACGGCCCAGACCUCCGUACGGGAGGCAG
rnacentral:rRNA from 1 species